GAUGAAGAACGUAGCGAAAUGCGAUAAGUAAUGUGAAUUGCAGAAUUCAGUGAAUCAUCGAAUCUUUGAACGCACAUUGCGCCCGCCAGCAUUCUGGCGGGCAUGCCUGUUCGAGCGUCAUUUCAACCCUCGACAUCCCCUUGGGGAAGUCGGCGUUGGGGCCCGGCAGCACACCGCCGGCCCCGAAAUUGAGUGGCGGCCCGUCCGCGGCGACCUCUGCGUAGUAAUCCAACCUCGCACCGGAACCCCGACGUGGCCACGCCGUAAAACACCCAACUUUCUGAACGUUGACCUCGGAUCAGGUAGGAAUACCCGCUGAACUUAAGCAUAUCAAUAAGCGGAGGA
rnacentral:misc_RNA from 1 species